rnacentral:snoRNA from 1 species
AACCCAUGAUGAAGGCACCUUCUUAAAAUAUCUUUAAAUCUCUCUCAUGUAUCAUAUAAUGUCUCCAACUUAAUUUGAGAAAAAGAAGAGAUGUCCUUCCUCAACUU